UGUUUCGGCUAGGGGGCCAUCCCGGCUUACCAACCCGAUGCAAACUGCGAAUACCGGAGAAUGUUAUCACGGGAGACACACGGCGGGUGCUAACGUCCGUCGUGAAGAGGGAAACAACCCAGACCGCCAGCUAAGGUCCCAAAGUCAUGGUUAAGUGGGAAACGAUGUGGGAAGGCCCAGACAGCCAGGAUGUUGGCUUAGAAGCAGCCAUCAUUUAAAGAAAGCGUAAUAGCUCACUGGUCGAGUCGGCCUGCGCGGAAGAUGUAACGGGGCUAAACCAUGCACCGAAGCUGCGGCAGCGACACUGUGUGUUGUUGGGUAGGGGAGCGUUCUGUAAGCCUGCGAAGGUGUCCCGUGAGGGAUGCUGGAGGUAUCAGAAGU
rnacentral:rRNA from 1 species